rnacentral:rRNA from 1 species
AACGAACGUUAGCGGCGCGCCUAACACAUGCAAGUCGCACGAGAAAGGGCUUCGGCCCCGGUACAGUGGCGCACGGGUGAGUAACACGUGGGUAAUCUGCCCUCGAGCAGGGGAUAACAUUCCGAAAGGAGUGCUAAUACCGUAUAAGACCACGUCUUCGAAAGAGGAUGAGGUAAAAGCUGGCCUCUAUACAUAAGCUAGCACUUUGAGGAUGAGCCCGCGGCGCAUCAGCUAGUUGGUGAGGUAAUGGCUCACCAAGGCUAAGACGCGUAGCUGGUCUGAGAGGAUGAUCAGCCACACUGGAACUGAGACACGGUCCAGACUCCUACGGGAGGCUG